rnacentral:rRNA from 1 species
CCUACGGGGUGCUGCAGUGAGGAAUAUUGGUCAAUGGACGAGAGUCUGAACCAGCCAAGUAGCGUGAAGGAUGACUGCCCUAUGGGUUGUAAACUUCUUUUAUAUGGGAAUAAAAUGUUCCACGUGUGGGAUUUUGUAUGUACCAUAUGAAUAAGGAUCGGCUAACUCCGUGCCAGCAGCCGCGGUAAUACGGAGGAUCCGAGCGUUAUCCGGAUUUAUUGGGUUUAAAGGGAGCGUAGGUGGAUUGUUAAGUCAGUUGUGAAAGUUUGCGGCUCAACCGUAAAAUUGCAGUUGAAACUGGCAGUCGUGAGUACAGUAGAGGUGGGCGGAAUUCGUGGUGUAGCGGUGAAAUGCUUAGAUAUCACGAAGAACUCCGAUUGCGAAGGCAGCUCACUGGACUGCAACUGACACUGAGGCUCGAAAGUGUGGGUAUCAAACAGGAUUAGAUACCCUAGUAGUC